rnacentral:snRNA from 1 species
AAGCGCGCGACCUAUACCCGG